GGGGAACUAACAUUUUUGUUUAUUUAGCUCUCUAAAGAGUUUAAUAUUUUGUGAUAUUUACAAAAAAAAAGUUUCGAUUCAGAGUGGAUUUUUAGAAAGUUCGGCAUUAAUAGACAUUUAAUACUCCAAAAUGCCUGUCUUAAAUAGUAAAUGGAUCGCCUAACAAUAUUUCCAGAAAUUAUUUUGAUCCCACUCCACCCCUGAGAAUUAUAUAUAUUUAUAUAAAUAUAACUAUAUUAAUUUAUUUAAUUUUCUAACGGACUUACUUUACUUUCAUAUAAUUUCAUA